GGCCAAAAAGCUGACAUAGCGGUCUACCUGCAAAGUAGGCUGGGGUAGGAUUCUACUUUGGUCU
rnacentral:tRNA from 1 species